AAUGAACGCUGGCGGCGUGGUUAAGACAUGCAAGUCGAACGGUUUUUAUGAAGGGCAACUGGAUAUAAAAGCAGUGGCGAACGGGUGCGUAACACGUGAACAAUCUACCUUCGAAAUCGGGGGAAUAGCUCGCCCGAAAGGCGAAUUAAUACCGGCAUAUGGUUCUGUCUCGCAUGAGAUGGAUACCAAAGUCAGGGACCGC
rnacentral:rRNA from 1 species